CUACCACGCGAGUGGAUGCCAAUCCCCAAAACCUCUCUCAGUUCGGACUGGAGUCUGCAACCCGACUCCACGAAGCUGGAUUCGCUAGUAAUCGCGCAUCAGCCACGGCGCGGUGAAUACGUUCCCGGGCCUUGUACACACCGCCCGUCAAGCCAUGGGAGCCGGGGGUACCUGAAGUGCGUAACCGCGAGGAGCGCCCUAGGGUAAAACUGGUGACUGGGGCUAAGUCGUAACAAGGUAAC
rnacentral:rRNA from 1 species